CUCACAUCACAGAGUGAGCAAGAGAGGUCGUCCAGGGAUGCAGUCUUACCAUCCAGGAGUUCAAAGCCACUAUCAACACUAUUUUCCUGAUGACAGCACCAACUAUAGCUACUCACCAGUAGAAGAAAAGCAGGAAAGUAGUAUUAGCUGUAGAAAAGAAGGAGGAGGCCAGGCGCGGUGGCGCACACCUGUAAUCCCAGCACUUUGGGAGGCUGAGGCGGGCAGAUCGCAUGAGGUCAGGACUUUGAGACCAGCCUGGCCAACAUGGUGAAACCCAGUCUCUACUAAAAAUACAAAAAUCUGUCGGGUGUCGGGGCAGGUGCCUGUAGUCCCAGCUACUUGGGAGGCUGCAGCAGAAUUGCUUGAACCUAGGAGGCGGAGGUUGCAGUGAGCAGAGAUUGUGCCAUUGCACUCCAGCCUGAGCAACAAAGUGAGACUCAAUCUCAAAAAAAAAAAAGAAGGAGGAGAGGUGUGUGAUAAGUCCUGAUGGCCUUAGGUGUCCUGACUGCCUAGGCAGCCAAAGGGCACAUGGUAAGCCAUCCAAAAGUGCCUUCAGGGCAAAAGAAUAGAAAGGGGGUCGCUCUGCUCGUGGGGUACACGGCAGAGGAGUAAGUUUUAUGUCAAAGCAGGAAUCUGAUCAGAGGUUCCGAAUUGGAAGUACAAUUUCAUCAUUUUUGCAAUUUCUAGAAAUUAAUUUUAGUGUCAGAAAAAGCUGAUGGUGAGGACAUGCAUUGCAGUUUGCAGGAGGGAAAUGUCAAAUGAGGACUUCAUCACAUAUGACAUGAGAGAAAAGUAAAAGCUGGUUCUAAAAUCAAAAGCUGCUGUUCAUCCUGAAUUG
rnacentral:lncRNA from 1 species